rnacentral:rRNA from 2 species
GGGUUGUGAGGUUAAGCGACUAAGCGUACACGGUGGAUGCCCUGGCAGUCAGAGGCGAUGAAGGACGUGCUAAUCUGCGAAAAGCGUCGGUAAGGUGAUAUGAACCGUUAUAACCGGCGAUGUCCGAAUGGGGAAACCCAGUGCAAUUCGUUGCACUAUCGUUAACUGAAUACAUAGGUUAACGAGGCGAACCGGGGGAACUGAAACAUCUAAGUACCCCGAGGAAAAGAAAUCAACCGAGAUUCCCCCAGUAGCGGCGAGCGAACGGGGAGCAGCCCAGAGUCUGAAUCAGCUUGUGUGUUAGUGGAACGGUCUGGAAAGUCCGACGGUACAGGGUGAUAGUCCCGUACACCAAAAUGCACAGGUUGUGAACUCGAAGAGUAGGGCGGGACACGUGGUAUCCUGUCUGAAUAUGGGGGGACCAUCCUCCAAGGCUAAAUACUCCUGACUGACCGAUAGUGAACCAGUACCGUGAGGGAAAGGCGAAAAGAACCCCGGCGAGGGGAGUGAAAAAGAACCUGAAACCGUGUACGUACAAGCAGUGGGAGCACCUUCGGGUGUGACUGCGUACCUUUUGUAUAAUGGGUCAGCGACUUAUAUUCUGUAGCAAGGUUAACCGUAUAGGGGAGCCGCAGGGAAACCGAGUCUUAACUGGGCGUUAAGUUGCAGGGUAUAGACCCGAAACCCGGUGAUCUAGCCAUGGGCAGGUUGAAGGUUGGGUAACACUAACUGGAGGACCGAACCGACUAAUGUUGAAAAAUUAGCGGAUGACUUGUGGCUGGGGGUGAAAGGCCAAUCAAACCGGGAGAUAGCUGGUUCUCCCCGAAAGCUAUUUAGGUAGCGCCUCGUGAACUCAUCUUCGGGGGUAGAGCACUGUUUCGGCUAGGGGGUCAUCCCGACUUACCAACCCGAUGCAAACUACGAAUACCGAAGAAUGUUAUCACGGGAGACACACGGCGGGUGCUAACGUCCGUCGUGAAGAGGGAAACAACCCAGACCGCCAGCUAAGGUCCCAAAGUCAUGGUUAAGUGGGAAACGAUGUGGGAAGGCACAGACAGCCAGGAUGUUGGCUUAGAAGCAGCCAUCAUUUAAAGAAAGCGUAAUAGCUCACUGGUCGAGUCGGCCUGCGCGGAAGAUGUAACGGGGCUAAACCAUGCACCGAAGCUGCGGCAGCGACACUAUGUGUUGUUGGGUAGGGGAGCGUUCUGUAAGCCUGCGAAGGUGACCUGUGAGGGUUGCUGGAGGUAUCAGAAGUGCGAAUGCUGACAUAAGUAACGAUAAAGCGGGUGAAAAGCCCGCUCGCCGGAAGACCAAGGGUUCCUGUCCAACGUUAAUCGGGGCAGGGUGAGUCGACCCCUAAGGCGAGGCCGAAAGGCGUAGUCGAUGGGAAACAGGUUAAUAUUCCUGUACUUGGUGUUACUGCGAAGGGGGGACGGAGAAGGCUAUGUUAGCCGGGCGACGGUUGUCCCGGUUUAAGCAUGUAGGCUGGUUGUCCAGGCAAAUCCGGAUAAUCAAGGCUGAGGUGUGAUGACGAGGCACUACGGUGCUGAAGUAACAAAUGCCCUGCUUCCAGGAAAAGCCUCUAAGCAUCAGGUAACAUCAAAUCGUACCCCAAACCGACACAGGUGGUCAGGUAGAGAAUACCAAGGCGCUUGAGAGAACUCGGGUGAAGGAACUAGGCAAAAUGGUGCCGUAACUUCGGGAGAAGGCACGCUGGUGUGUAGGUGAAGUCCCUGCGGAUGGAGCUGAGACCAGUCGAAGAUACCAGCUGGCUGCAACUGUUUAUUAAAAACACAGCACUGUGCAAACACGAAAGUGGACGUAUACGGUGUGACGCCUGCCCGGUGCCGGAAGGUUAAUUGAUGGGGUUAUCCGUAAGGAGAAGCUCUUGAUCGAAGCCCCGGUAAACGGCGGCCGUAACUAUAACGGUCCUAAGGUAGCGAAAUUCCUUGUCGGGUAAGUUCCGACCUGCACGAAUGGCGUAAUGAUGGCCAGGCUGUCUCCACCCGAGACUCAGUGAAAUUGAACUCGCUGUGAAGAUGCAGUGUACCCGCGGCAAGACGGAAAGACCCCGUGAACCUUUACUAUAGCUUGACACUGAACAUUGAGCCUUGAUGUGUAGGAUAGGUGGGAGGCUUUGAAGCGUGGACGCCAGUCUGCGUGGAGCCAACCUUGAAAUACCACCCUUUAAUGUUUGAUGUUCUAACGUUGGCCCCUUACCGGGGUUGCGGACAGUGUCUGGUGGGUAGUUUGACUGGGGCGGUCUCCUCCCAAAGCGUAACGGAGGAGCACGAAGGUUAGCUAAUCCUGGUCGGACAUCAGGAGGUUAGUGCAAUGGCAUAAGCUAGCUUGACUGCGAGCGUGACGGCGCGAGCAGGUGCGAAAGCAGGUCAUAGUGAUCCGGUGGUUCUGAAUGGAAGGGCCAUCGCUCAACGGAUAAAAGGUACUCCGGGGAUAACAGGCUGAUACCGCCCAAGAGUUCAUAUCGACGGCGGUGUUUGGCACCUCGAUGUCGGCUCAUCACAUCCUGGGGCUGAAGUAGGUCCCAAGGGUAUGGCUGUUCGCCAUUUAAAGUGGUACGCGAGCUGGGUUUAGAACGUCGUGAGACAGUUCGGUCCCUAUCUGCCGUGGGCGCUGGAGAAUUGAGGGGGGCUGCUCCUAGUACGAGAGGACCGGAGUGGACGCAUCACUGGUGUUCGGGUUGUCAUGCCAAUGGCACUGCCCGGUAGCUAAAUGCGGAAGAGAUAAGUGCUGAAAGCAUCUAAGCACGAAACUUGCCCCGAGAUGAGUUCUCCCUGAGACUUUAAGUCUCCUGAAGGAACGUUGAAGACGACGACGUUGAUAGGCCGGGUGUGUAAGCGCAGCGAUGCGUUGAGCUAACCGGUACUAAUGAACCGUGAGGCUUAACCUUACAACGCCGAAG